UACGAAGGGGGCUAGCGUUGCUCGGAAUCACUGGGCGUAAAGCGCACGUAGGCGGAUUGUUAAGUCAGGGGUGAAAUCCUGGAGCUCAACUCCAGAACUGCCUUUGAUACUGGCGAUCUCGAGUCCGGGAGAGGUGAGUGGAACUGCGAGUGUAGAGGUGAAAUUCGUAGAUAUUCGCAAGAACACCAGUGGCGAAGGCGGACUCACUGGCCCGGUACUGACGCUGAGGUGCCGAAAGCGUGGGG
rnacentral:rRNA from 1 species